rnacentral:lncRNA from 1 species
UGGGAUCUUCAAACAUAACAUGGUAUUUCUGUAACAGUAAAGCCAAAGGCUCAGGGGUACUUACAUUGAUUGCUAUUGUAUUGGAAGGAUCAUUUUCUUCGAUUGCCAUCCAUUUGCAAGUGAUGGAGUACAAAUGUGCAGCACUGUCAGGACCAUUUUUUCUCAAAUAGUUUUGUAGUCUUUUGCCCUCUACUGCUCUUAGCUCCCCAC